CAGCCUGCCAAACAGACGUCAUCGACAGAGCAAUCCAGCUGAUGAUCGAUCCUCAUUCAGCUGCCCUCCUGCAUGGAUGAAUUCGGGGGAACUGUAAAUGAGGAAUGGCAUAUGGUUUGAUCAAAUUGAUGUGUAGCCUAUGUGAUAUACAGUAUGACAUAUUUAAGCAAUGAUGGACUGAAGAGGACAUUAGAACAUUUCUGAAACAGACUGCUGAAUCUUUGUUCCCCUGGUAACCUGCAACGUGAGGCAGUCCAGCUGGUGAGAGUGGCAUGCUUAUUGACAAAUUCUUCCUAUAGCAAUUGAGCAAAUAAUGUGACGACAAUGAGAGAGGCAGUAGGUGGAACGACAAUGUGAACGUCUGAGGCGGAAGCUCUGGCACGGUCUUACAUUACAUAAAGCCUCAGUGUUGCUUAAUAUUCACCACACCUCCAUCCUUCUGGCUCUGGGACUCUGUCUUUAUCUUAUUUGAGGAUCUUAUAUUCUUCAAUGCAAUCUUCCAGUACUUUUCUCUCUGGCUGCUUAUAUUCUCCAGCAUUUUUUGACAGUGCAGGGAUUUGACUGAGUGAAACUCAGCUGUCAGAAAAGGAACAAUGAAGUCUGCAUCUCCUUUAGGUGCAUAUAUCACACGAGUGAUGCACAACUUUGACCUCAGAGUUUGGCAUUAAUGCACUUCUAACUUGUUUAUUUGAACAAAGGCGGUAACAUGCAUCACAUGCAUAAGAGAAGUUUUCCUAGUGUCUUUCUGUAGUCUUUGAAGUGAAGCUGUGAGUCCAGAGUCCACAGAUGCCUUAUCAAAUAAUGAAAGUGCUGGGGUUACAACAUAUUCAGGUUGUUUGGUGAACACUCAACAGAUACUGCUUUGAAACAGCAGAGGGCAGUGUUUGCUUUGCUUCGCAUAGACCCCUGUUCAUCCAGUGAGUAAUGGAGUCAGGUGCAGGCUGUUUGAUUCAGGUUUGUGAAAAUGUUACAGACAUUACAGUCAUUAUCAGAAGCAUUCAUGCUUCGUUUAACACUUGUUUGUCGAAUUCUAAGAGCUAAAAAAGAAAAAAUGGGAGAUAUUUUACAUUAAAGAUGUCAUUGAAUUUUGCAUGGUUUGGAAAAUAUGGGUUCAA